AUUGAACGCUGGCGGCAGGCCUAACACAUGCAAGUCGAGCGAGCGGCGGACGGGUGAGUAAUGUCUGGGAAACUGCCUGCUGGAGGGGGAUAACUACUGGAAACGGUAGCUAAUACCGCAUACCCUCAGAUGUGCCCAGAUGGGAUUAGCUGGUAGGUGGGGUAACGGCUCACCAAGGCGACGAUCCCUAGCUGGUCUGAGAGGAUGACCAGCCACACUGGAACUGAGACACGGUCCAGACUCCUACGGGAGGCAGCAGUGGGGAAUAUUGCACAAUGGGCGAAAGCCUGAUACAGCCAUGCCGCGUGUGUGAAGAAGGCCUUCGGGUUGUAAAGCACUUUCAGCGGGGAGGCGUUACCAGCAGAAGAAGCACCGGCUAACUCCGUGCCAGCAGCCGCGGUAAUAC
rnacentral:rRNA from 1 species